GACGGGGGGCCUAGCGUUGUUCGGAAUCAUUGGGCGUAAAGCGUGUGCAGGUGGUUUGGGUAAGUUGGAUGUGAAAUCCUUGGGCUUAACCCAAGAAGGGCAUUCAAAACUACCAAACUUGAGUAAGGAAGAGGGUCGUGGAAUUCCGAGGUGUAGUGGUGAAAUACGUAGAUAUCUGGAGGAACACCGGUGGCGAAGGCGGCGACCUGGUCCUAUACUGACACUCAUACACGAAAGCGUGGGGAUCAAACAGG
rnacentral:rRNA from 1 species